AAGACACGCUGCCUUAUGUAUAGGCUGUUUCAAUAUGUCAAUUUCAAAUGAUUUUCAAACAAGUUUGAAUUGAUGUGUGUUCUGGCUCCUCAUUAAUUCACAUAAAAGUAGCCCAUUUCACUUUUGUGGACUUUUUGGGGGUUUUAUUGAGCCGGACAAACUUCCCCAAGCGCUUCCCCAUUGUUUCCGCAGAUCGAGUAUGUAGACAUUUGCGCAUCUCCAGUCAGAACAGGACCUGCACAAACUUUUUCACAUUUUUCAAGCUGGUGCCUGCAUUGCCUUCGCUGUUUUCCUAAUUACAUGAUAAUAACUUUGGACGUGUGCGUUUUCAUCAAAAUCAAUGUCGUACCUUCGGGCAUUUGGAAAUUCCUUCCAAGGAUGAGGUCUUGGCUGAUUUCUAUAAAUUGUCCCAUGAUGUCAAGCAAAGAGGCACUGAGUUUGAAGGGCCAGCUGGCUGGGGAACAGGGAUGAUGAUGCCACGCUCACCGUGGGUGUUUCCUGGGUAAUUGGUUCACUUUUUCUGAGGUCGAAACUCCAUGGUCCACACUAUAGGAGCUGGACUGAACAGCACUGCUACAAAUAACUGUUUGGUCUCAUAUUGAGGAGCCCCAUUUAAACGCAGAGAAAUAUAAUGUUGUUUAUUUGUAAAGGAUGUAUGCAUUAGUAAAUGUAUAUGCAUUAGUAUUUCAAAGCUUUCAUGUUUUCCACCUCUCCCAAAUCUAUCUCCUACAAUUAUUGACUUGAUUUCGCACAUUUAUAGGUAUUAUAGCAACUGUACUUCCAUAUAUAUUCCAUGAAGUUCAAGCUUGUGUGUUAUUGCCUCAUACUGUCUCAGGAGUGAUGAUACACCUUUUUAAACAAGCACAUUGAGUGAAGCCCAUAAAUAAAGGAAUGACAGGUGAAUAAUAAAGGAAUGAGUGAAGACAUAAAGGAAGUAAUGCUUUGUCUAGUAGUGCUCUACUGUCGUGUCUGCAUUAAACAUAAGUUAUUCGAUGUACACAGUACUUUAAAUGUUGAAUCUAUAGUUCCUGCACAUUGUUAUAUUUCUUUAACAUUAAUCUCCCAAUAGGAUCAACAGCAACUAUAGAACUAUUGUGCGUACCAGGUCCCUGUGAUGUAUCACCCCUGUUGAAAAGCACAUAAAUGGGUUAUCAUACCAUGAUAA